UGGGGAAUAUUGGGCAAUGGGGGAAACCCUGACCCAGCAACGCCGCGUGAGGGAAGAAGGUUUUCGGAUCGUAAACCUCUGUCCUUGGUGAAGAGAAGAAGACGGUAGCCAAGGAGGAAGCCCCGGCUAACUACGUGCCAGCAGCCGCGGUAAUACGUAGGGGGCAAGCGUUGUCCGGAAUGAUUGGGCGUAAAGGGCGCGUAGGCGGCUUGGUAAGUUUGGAGUGAAAGUCCUACUUUUAAGGUGGGAAUUGCUUUGGAAACUGCUGAGCUUGAGUGUAGGAGAGGUUAGUGGAAUUCCCGGUGUAGCGGUGAAAUGCGUAGAGAUCGGGAGGAACACCAGUGGCGAAGGCGACUAACUGGACUAUAACUGACGCUGAGGCGCGAAAGUGUGGGGAGCAAACAGG
rnacentral:rRNA from 2 species